rnacentral:rRNA from 1 species
UACGUAGGGUGCGAGCGUUAAUCGGAAUUACUGGGCGUAAAGCGUGCGCAGGCGGUUUUGUAAGCCAGAUGUGAAAUCCCCGGGCUCAACCUGGGAACUGCAUUUGUGACUGCAUCGCUGGAGUGCGGCAGAGGGGGGAUGGAAUUCCGCGUGUAGCAGUGAAAUGCGUAGAGAUGCGGAGGAACACCGGUGGCGAAGGCGGCCAACUGGACGAAUACUGACGCUGAGACUCGAAAGCGUGGGGAGCAAACAGG